GUCGAACGCUGGCGGCGUGCUUAACACAUGCAAGUCGAACGAAAUGGCGAACGGGUGAGUAACGUGUAAUCAACCUGCCCGUCAGAGGGGGACAACAGUGGGAAACGACUGCUAAUACCGCAGACUGAGGGAGGGGAUGGCGUCGGAACAGCUAGUUGAAGGGGUAACGGCCCACCAAGGCGAUGCUCAGUCGCCGGUCUGGGAGGCUGAACGGCCAAGUGGUGACUGAGGCACGGCCCCGACUCCUUCGGGGGGCAGCAGUGGGGAAUCUUCCGCAAUGGACGAAAGUCUGGCGGAGCAAAGCCGCGUGAGUGAUGACGGCCUUCGGGUUGUAAAGCUCUGUUAAUCGGGUAGCGGUACCGGAAUAGAAAGCCACGGCUAACUACGUGCCAGCCGCCGCGGUAAUAC
rnacentral:rRNA from 1 species